GGGUCCCGAGCGGCCGCGGACGUGGGCGCAGGCCUGCGGGUCGCCACCGCGCUCGGGUGUGGCACAGGGUCGGGCUCUGAGCGGCUGAGAGCCUCGCGCACAGCAGCUUCCGGAUGUGGCCGCGCAGAACCAAAAGAGAACACGGCAUUCCUGGCCCAUAAGGAAGGAGAGUUUUCGUCUGUGAGGGAUGGUCCUGGCGCAGCAGCAGCGGCCAGAGAGUGGGGCAGAGUGUGAACCACAGCACUGAGCGAGCGGCGGGCUCUCUGUCCCCAGCCAGCAGGAUGGGCCCUGUGGGCAGACACGGCCCCUCGGCCCUGCCGGUCCCCACGGGAGGGUCGUGCCUCCUCCUCCUCUUCUGCCUGCGCCUGGGCGCCUCUUGCCCGCAGAGCUGCCAGUGCCCCGACCACGCCGGGGCCGUGGCCGUCCACUGCAGCGCGAGGGGCCUGCAGGAGAUCCCCAAAGACAUCCCCCUGGACACGGUGCUCCUGAAGCUCGAUGCCAACAAGAUCGCCCGCAUCCCCAACGGAGCCUUCCAGCACCUGAGCCACCUGAGAGAGCUGGACCUGUCUCAGAACGCCAUCGAGACCAUCGGCCCCGCCGCCUUCUCGGGCCUGGCCGGGGGCCUGCGGCUGCUGGACCUGUCCCACAACCGUAUCCGGAGGAUUCCCAAGGACGCGCUGGGCAAGCUCAGCGCCAAGAUCCGCCUGUCCCACAACCCCCUGCACUGCGAGAGGAGUACGUGGGGAAGCCGCUGAUCCAGGCGCUCGACGCCGGCGUCAGCUUCUGCAGCGUCCACCACAAGACCACCGACGUGGCCAUGCUGGUCACCAUGUUUGGCUGGUUCGCCAUGGUGAUCACCUACGUGGUGUACUACGUGCGCCAGAACCAGGAGGACGCCAGGAGGCACCUGGAGUACCUGAAGUCCCUGCCCAGCACCCCUGUGUCCAAGGACCCCGUCAGCCCUGCCCCCUAGUGCCUGCCGGCUCAGGCGGGCUGCGGCCCACGUCUCGGCCGCCCCUGCUGUAGCCCACGGCGACUGAGUCUCGCUUGGCCGCCCCCCCCCAGCGAGGUGGUGACGGGGCCUCUUCCGGGCGGUGCUUCACUCUUACAGGGCACGUCUCCGAGGACUUCUCGUGGCUGCAGCGCCCUUCGGGUCCGGCAGCUCUGCCAUCAGAUGUGCUGACGGAGGAGGAGACCGAGGAGACCGAGCCGUGGAGAGAAACGGCCAGGAAAUGAGCAGCUGGAACAGUAGACCAAGCCGUCUGUCACGAUGCUCGUGUCCCUUCCGCUCAGGGAGCCUGUCCCACGGGGCGCCCCAGGGUGGACUAGCGUUCAGAGCAGGAAGGGUGGGUGCCCUCGAGUGGGGCUGCCCCAGGAGGACAGGCGCCUGUUGUCGGUCGAAGGCACAGGUGGUCUCCACUGCAGACUGGCCGCCGUCGCCUCCCCAGCAUCUCCUGAGCACCCUCGGCCACAGGACUCCCUCCAGGGCAGACGCCGAGAGACCGGGUGUUUUCUCGGGAGGGAACUGCAACGUGCAACCUUUGGACAACUUUGUUUAUUCUCAGAAUGUUUGUUCAGAGUCACGCUUGUACCAAAACUUCAGUCCAGGGAGAAGGAAACCAACCCCACCCCCACCCCCGAAAAAACAGCCGUGGAGAGAAACGUGAGAAAGUUCCAGCAGGGCUCAUCAAGGGGGCAGUGCCAGCAGCCAGACAUGCGAGGCCCUGCCCCGGUUCCGGCCUCUCAGGCUGCGCCCCGCUCCCGGGAGCCCGUUGUCACGGGUCGCUAUGUGCCUUUGCUUUUCAACUCACGGAAGCAGCUCCUUUGCGAAGGACAGGGGGACCGACGCCAGACGGUACAAGGCUGCUCAGCGGAUGCUUCCUUCCUGCCUCCAGCGACAAGAACUCUCUCUCUCUCCUUUCCAGCUUUGCUGCCAGGAACCUCAGAGCUACUUUACUGCUCAUUUUCUUACCUACUUGGUGUUCAGGGUAGACCUCACCUCCGCCGGGACAACCCUGAUAGCGUCUUUCCGAUUUUAUUUUUUUACGGUCUUUUGUAUGCGUGUUUAUAUUUUAAACGACUUCAGAUAUACUGGGGGGGAAGCAAGUUAGGGGUACGUGGCUUACGGAGCUAAGGGAUAAAGGACGGAAGCCUCCUGGAGCAGAUGCUUAGAAAGGAUGAAGGUGGAGGGAGGCUCGUACUUGGAAGAUGCCCUGUGGCUUUGCAGUGGGAAGCACACUUCCGCGCUGAUGCAGAGACGCGGUGUGUGUAGCCUCAGGACCAGCAGCUGUAGCCAGACCCGAAAGGCACGUCCGGACAAGGUCAUGCGUUUGCAGUUAUAGGAGAAAGGACCGACAGGUUCCAGCACCCUCCCACGCCUGUGGUCCCAGGGUGCUGGUGUGCAUAGCAUGCACCGUGUGGACGGGGGCUCUGUGCUUCUCUGCCUGCCCCCCAGACCAGGGGUGAGGGGUGGGAAGCAGGGCUCAGACGGUGCACCCAGUGAGGCCGGUCCUCGGGGAAAUUGACGGCCCGCCCACCCGCCUUUCCAGUGGGAGCUAAAACCAAGCAGCCAGCCCGGGCCAAACCCAUGUGGACCAGGUAAGUGUGGCUGCUGGCUGGCCAGCGGGACACGGGCUCUGGGGGGAGCCCGCUCUGCCGCCCCAUCCCCCUGGGCGCGCACAGCAGGAAGAGCGUUUUGCCCUGUGGAUGGGACCGGGGUGGGGCGAGAGCUGACGGAGGCCUGGAGGGAGAGGGCAGGUGUCAGUGUCCCUGCUGCAGCCCUGCCCCCGGGGCCUUACCCUGCCCCCAGGGAACCCUGCCCUUGCUCUAACCCAGCAUCAGCCCAGAGCAGGGGCGCCAGCCCUCCUGCCCUUGGUGCGUGCCUUCCUGCUGGGAGGAGGAAGCGGCUUAGCACCCCGGCACACGGGAAGGGCCCUCUCCUCAUCCCGAGUCCAGAGUCGGGGCCGCCGGGACCCCCUGGCCUUUCUGGCGGAGUCUCCUGGGAGAAGGUGCCUCCCUGCAGAGACCAGGGCCCGGAAGCUCCUUUCUGCCCAUGGGAGCUCCCAACCCUGGAGCCUCCUGGGGUGCAGCCCACCCCUCCCUCCUUUUCUCCCCCCACCCCCCAGCCCCUCCCCCCCACCCCCGUUCCCUCUCCUUUCCCUUAAGAUGACACCCUGCCUGGGCCACCUCGUUCCCUGCCGACACCCCCAUGAGCCCUCGGGCUGACUGCCUGCCCUGGAUCCAGCGCCCGGGGCCUGGCCAGAGCAGGCCUUUCGCCCCGUCCAGUUCUGCCAAGGCUGGCUGGGUGCGGGCUGGCCCCACUGAAGGGACAGGUGUUGGCAGGGGUGGGCACGUGACAAAGAGGUGCCUCAGUCGGGCACAGUGGGGUGAUAGCCUUUGUGGGACCCGGGAGUCCCCUGACUGUCACUACGAUCCGGGUAAGGGGCCGCAGGGAGCUACGCGCCCCUGGCCCGCUGGACGCCCCCUGCCAAGCCCCUCUAGCCAGGGGAGGUAGUGCUACCCCAGUCUGGGGGUCGCGGUGGGAUGGCACUGAGAUUCCUCCUUGGGGCAGAGGGUGGUGUGGACAGACUGGCCCCAGAGCCGCCCAGCCAGGCUCCUCCACCCGUGGGAAUCGAGGGGUCUUGCUUCUAGAGGGGUCAGAGGGGAGGGGCAGUGGGGGGCUUGUGGGGCCACUGCUCUGGCUGGGCUGGGGUGAGAUUUCCUGCUCUCUCUGCCCCACCCUCAUCAUGAUGGUUCCCCUGGAAACCAGAGCCCCACCCGCCACCCUGGGAGGGGAUGCCCCCACUCAGAGCCUCCCGACACCCGCCCUUCCCUUCUGGACUCUAGGGCCCCCAGAGUCCCACCAGAGGACCAGGCCAUCCCGCCCUCGGGUGGUCCAGCGGUGGGGGCUGAGCAGGUGUACGGACACCCAGGUCCGCCCCGGCGGCAGGCGGCAGGACGGCCUCGAGGCUGGGCUGGGAGGGAGCCGCGGCAGCUUCUCCUGGAAGAGCCCUGAUGCAGGAACCAGGGGCGCCCCCACCAUGGGGCCCCAGUCGCCCAGCCCACCUGCAGGGAGAGUGGACGAUUUUAAACUGGACGUGAGACUGGGUGUGUUUUUCUCAAUGGAAAGUUGCUGCAGGCAGGAGAUGGGGCCGAGUGGAGGGAUGAGGACGGGCUGGAGCUCCUGCGCUGGUCGCAUUCACACGGGGUCUGAGAAAUGCGUGGUGCAGAGCCCCCAUCAGACAGGGGCCACGUGGGGCUGGCUGCCUUGGAUGGUCCUCCUGCAUGGUCAGCAGAACGCUGGGCCUCUGCAUAGGCUGGGCAGGAGCAUAGAGCCAGCCUCCUGGGCACUCUGGGCAGCAGAGGGGGCGGGCUCCCGGGUGGGCGCUGUGUGCCGCCUGCCCCUGCUGGCCUGCCCUCCUGCGUACCCCCAGCACCCCCCGGCUCCUGGCUCCGGAGCAGCAACUUCUCCAAGUGUCUGCGGGAGACUUGGAUCCUGGGGAUGGGGGCGGGGGGGGUAGGCUGCAGACCGCGCUGGGAGCGGAAUGUUCUGGACUGGUGGCUCCCAGCCACGGCAGGAACCUGGGGAGUUUUCUGGAGUCGUUUUUCCUGAAAGCUUAUCCUGAAACCUGAUUCCACUGUUCCCCUCACCGUCUGAACCCUUAAUAAACCUCUGUGC
rnacentral:lncRNA from 9 species